UAAAAACUCUUGCUGUUCUUGGUGGAGUCCUCGGGUUUAAUUUCUUUGAUUUAUCAAUGGCCAGUGAAUCAUAUUUUUUUGCCACUUUUACGGCUCACAUGGCACACGUACAGUAAAAGCAAUUACAAAUCUGACAAACCAGACCAUUGAAAAAUUAUGAAGAUUAUGAGAUGAAUUAUUGCUUUAUCCCUCGGCCCCCCUCAACUCUUUGUGCUAGGAGGAUGACAUCAUCGAUUGAAAGAAUAAUUGGUUCUCCAGAUGCUUGAAUGAUACCGAGGGUUCUUUCUUCUCAUAUUAAUGUUCUUUACCUGCAUCACUUUGCCUAUUUCAGAUGUGCACAGGUAAUAAAACACAUGCUUGAAAAUGUAUGUUUA
rnacentral:lncRNA from 1 species